GGAGAACAUCUAUAUUCAUAUUACGUGCGGCACACCUGAAAGCAAAACGAUAGGAUAUUCUACUGAAAUUGCAAUGGAGUCACAACAACAUUCAGGACAAUCAGUUAGCCUGAGGAUUGUGCUCCUUGGCCCAGCCGCUUCAGGCAAGAGUGCAACUGCAAAUGGCAUUCUGGGUAAGGAGGUAUUUCUUGAGUCCCGAACAACAGGA